rnacentral:tRNA from 1 species
CGGGGCGUGGCGCAGCUUGGUAGCGCGCUUGCUUUGGGAGCAAGAGGCCGGCGGUUCGAAUCCGCCCGCCCCGACCA